AACAGCCUUCGUCGAACGGAGAGGAGGAAUAUCGCCUCCGUAUUGGGGUUGCCUAUUUGCCUUGCCUGGUCUCAAGGAAAUUCCUCGAAAAUUCCUCGUACAUUUCUCGUAAGGCUGUACUCAACGUUUGACAAUAAGAACGCACCCCUUCCUGACACCAGCUGAUUACAAGCGGCAGCUUGACUAUGUGACCGCUUUCUCCCCGUUAAAAAUUACGAUGUAUUAUGACCUACGUACGAGAGUUUGGUCGACCAGUUGCAGUUCGGGAAACUCAGCAACAACAGCAGGGUUGUAACAUGCGGACAGAGCAACCGAGAUGCGAACUCGAAGGUGGUCCUUUUUCACAGUUGUACGUCUUGUACGGGGAGAGGAAGAGGCAGAAAUAAGAUCGUCCUGCCGGCAGGCCGGAGCAUGCAGUUCAUAUAGCAUUUGUUUCCUUUUCAGGUCUACCUAGAAGCACCUUGGCCUAUGAGGACCAUGCGCGGCUUUCAUACGGAAAGCUUCUUUCUGCACAAACCUCUUCCUCCCCCUCUUAUCACUCCCUUCGCUUUCACCCGCUCAAGUCCAGCCGUCAGUCCCGUUUCCGCCUGCUAGCUCUUGUCUGGCCUAGCGUCGAGGCCUGAACGCUAAGGGAGCUUUUAAUGAACACCACCCUAAGGAAUGACUUACAUCUCCACCUCCAGUCUCUCUCUUACCUGGCACUCUUUAUAGGGCAGGACGCGAAACCCCUGCUGUUCUGUGCUUUUGCCCAGAACGCCGACGCCAAUAGUCAGCGCUUCGGGGUCUCAGUGCCGCUACUGUAGCUGCUACCUCGGCCGACCGCUGUCAUACUUCCCUGUCGUUUGUUCUCCCACCUUCUGACGCGAAUGCUGCCCACUGUCGGACUCCUGAAGUCUCCUAAAGCUUUAAGCUGGACCGCUCCAACCAGCAGCUUUGCCGCCUUCCUCGUCGUCUUUCGCUUUAUUAUAUUUACCGUUCACCAUAAAAACAAACUCACUCGCGGACUAUUGACCUGCCCGCCGCUUACGCCGUCAGCAGCUCUUGCAGCCCGCUCUCCUGUUUUGUCGUCUAUUAAAGGCGGAUAUAGUAAAUUUCUAUUCGGAGGUGGCAGUAGAGGCUGUGGCGCCAGCAGUGGUGCCAAGACUUCGGUGGAACAACGCCACCCCCGCCGUUGAGUAGCUUGAAGGCAGGUAGUUUGGCAAAGCGAACGCAGGCAUGGCAGGCGCUUAUUGGAGCUAGACGAACUCCUGACAGGCCUGGUCCUUCUUAACUCCGCUUUUACUCACCCAUUCACUCCUUUUCUUUGCUAUUUUUUUCUUUCGAAAUUACUGGGGAUACUGGAAUGCUUACCGCCCUUUCCCAAAGAGCAUCUCUUCCCACAGAAUAACGUAUACCGGUUAAGUAAUCAUCUUGUCAACCGCUGGUAGGAAAUGGUGAAAGCUUGCUUUAGCGAAUAGCAGCGCAAGAAGAAGAUACAAUUGAAAGGGACAUUAGGAAAAUGCGGUAACCAGGUUGAACUAGUUGAUAUUAAAGCUAUCACUAAUAAUGGAUA
rnacentral:lncRNA from 1 species